rnacentral:rRNA from 1 species
UACGUAGGGGGCAAGCGUUAUCCGGAUUUACUGGGUGUAAAGGGAGCGUAGACGGCGAUGCAAGUCUGAAGUGAAAGGCGGGGGCCCAACCCCCGGACUGCUUUGGAAACUGUAUGGCUGGAGUGCAGGAGAGGUAAGUGGAAUUCCUAGUGUAGCGGUGAAAUGCGUAGAUAUCAGGAGGAACACCGGUGGCGAAGGCGGCUUACUGGACAGUGACUGACACUGAGGCUCGAAAGCGUGGGGAGCAAACAGG